rnacentral:rRNA from 1 species
AGUGAACGCUGGCGGUAGGCCUAACACAUGCAAGUCGAACGGCAGCACAGUAAGAGCUUGCUCUUACGGGUGGCGAGUGGCGGACGGGUGAGGAAUACAUCGGAAUCUACUUUUUCGUGGGGGAUAACGUAGGGAAACUUACGCUAAUACCGCAUACGACCUACGGGUGAAAGCAGGGGAUCUUCGGACCUUGCGCGAUUGAAUGAGCCGAUGUCGGAUUAGCUAGUUGGCGGGGUAAAGGCCCACCAAGGCGACGAUCCGUAGCUGGUCUGAGAGGAUGAACCGGCACCCUGGAACUUGGGAACCGUUCCAGCUCCUAACGGAGGCAGCAGUGGGGAAUAUUGGACAAUGGGCGCAAGCCUGAUCCAGCCAUACCGCGUGGGUGAAGAAGGCCUUCGGGUUGUAAAGCCCUUUUGUUGGGAAAGAAAAGCAGCAGGUUAAUACCCCGCUGUUCUGACGGUACCCAAAGAAUAAGCACCGGCUAACUUCGUG